rnacentral:lncRNA from 1 species
CACAUGGGCAAGAAUGUAUAUCUAGGCUAGAAACAUUCACAUUGUUAUGUAACCGUCGCCACCAUUUAUCUCCAGAACUUUUUUCAUUUUCUCCAACUCAAGCUCUGUGCCCAUUAAACACUAGUUUCCUGUUUCCCCUCUUCCCAUCAGACCCUGGAAACCACCAUUCUCCUUUUUGUGUCUUUGAAUUUGGCUAUUCUAAGUACCUCAUAUAAGUGGAAUUAUAUGAUGUUCACCUUUGUGGAUCUGGCUUAUUUUACUUAGUAUGUCAAGGUUUAUCCAUGUUGUAGCAUGUGCCAGGAUUCUCCACCCCCCUUUAUAUAAGGCUGAAUAAUAGUCCUCUCUCUAUAUAUACACAUUUUGUCUACCCAUUCAUUUAUCAAUGUUGUUCAAGGGUUGCCUUGUGUUUUUUUUCUGCCCAGCCCUGGAAUCAGUCAGUUCCCCAAGAAGUUCUUGUUCCUUUGAUUGGAGAAUGGUAUUUGGAAAGGUCUAGAUGGUAGUUGUGCUCUGAACUGCUGGUUUAUUAUUGUUGAUAGGCUCUGUCAGUGUACAGAGGUAGGAAAUAUAUGUAUGUUUAUUAACACAUAUAUGUAUGCACAUUUAUAUUUAUUUUUAAACCCACCCUUCUGUAUAUCUGUUAAAAUCCAUAGGUCAUACCUGUAUCUGUGAUUCUUGUCCUGUACUACAGGGUUAAUCUUAGCUUUCCUUCUCUCCUUAUUUAUAGCUCUGUAUUUCUGAGAAUGGAAAUGAGGCUGUCAUUAUCCACAAUAGAUAUUUUCCCAUUUGUAUAUGUAUAUAAUACAGUUUCAGAUUUGCUAACCUGUAACCCUGCAAAAUAACAUUUACUAACUACAGCAUUUGUGUACAUUAGUACUCUUUUUCACACAUAACCCUUUUCCUUAUUAGACCAAAAAAUCCAAACUCUCUUAAAUAUCAUGAAUUUCAUGUUCUUGUUUCCUUGUUUAUUUUUUCUGUGUUUUUUUAAAUCACAGAUUUAAGAUCUGCC